rnacentral:rRNA from 1 species
CAGGAAGACGGCCCUACGGGUUGUAAACUGCUUUUGUACCGGAAUAAACCCCGAUUCGUGAAUCGGGUUGAAUGUACGGUAAGAAUAAGGAUCGGCUAACUCCGUGC